rnacentral:misc_RNA from 1 species
CGCACAUCGCGCCCUUUGGCAUUCCGAGGGGCAUGCCUGUCCGAGCGUCAUGAAAACCACUCAAGCGUAGCUUGGUAUUGAGCCAUGCCGGUCUCACGGCAGGUUCUAAACUCAGUGGCGAUGCUGCAGGGCUUCGAGCGCAGUAGAAACACUCGCUACGACGCCUCGCAGAGAUUGACCAGCAAACCUUUUAUGAUGGUUGACCUCGGAUCAGGUAGGAAUACCCGCUGAACUUAA